rnacentral:tRNA from 1 species
GCCUUCGUGGUGUAGUGGUCAGCACGCUCGACGCGUAACCGAGAGGUCCGUGGUUCGAUUCUUGGCGAAAGCG